rnacentral:rRNA from 1 species
GAUGAACGCUGGCGGCGUGCCUAAUACAUGCAAGUCGAGCGAACAGACGAGGAGCUUGCUCCUCUGACGUUAGCGGCGGACGGGUGAGUAACACGUGGAUAACCUACCUAUAAGACUGGGAUAACUUCGGGAAACCGGAGCUAAUACCGGAUAAUAUAUUGAACCGCAUGGUUCAAUAGUGAAAGACGGUUUUGCUGUCACUUAUAGAUGGAUCCGCGCCGCAUUAGCUAGUUGGUAAGGUAACGGCUUACCAAGGCGACGAUGCGUAGCCGACCUGAGAGGGUGAUCGGCCACACUGGAACUGAGGCACGGUCCAGACUCCUACGGGAGGCAGCAGUAGGGAAUCUUCCGCAAUGGGCGAAAGCCUGACGGAGCAACGCCGCGUGAGUGAUGAAGGUCUUCGGAUCGUAAAACUCUGUUAUUAGGGAAGAACAAAUGUGUAAGUAACUAUGCACGUCUUGACGGUACCUAAUCAGAAAGCCACGGCUAACUACGUG